UUCCCUAUCCGGCAUGACGUCACUUUAAUGUAACCGCUCCAAUAUAGAUAUAUGCGACCUCGACGGACCGGCGAUCGCCCUCAAUCGAGCUCUUCUCGAGGGAUCUUCUCCAUGCAGGCUCUUGAGAUGCCAGCGACAGCUGCGGCAAGCUGUGGCGGCGGAAUGGUCUCGUUUAAGGUGAUCCCGAUCUCCGAUCCCAAGCCCCCAGACGAAGUCGUCCCGGAGGCAGCCCCUAUUACCGCAGUCCUAAACUUCGCCGCCAGGAGUUCAAGGUCCUUCCUCAGACUAGCGUCGUCAUCACCAUUCACCAAAUUUGAUUUUGGUCGGUGUUUCUCUCUAGUUUCAAUUGAGUUCUUCCUAUUGAUAAGGAAUACGCUUGUCUUGGAUAUGCUAUUUUAUCCUUUCGGCGUUGCAAUGUUCUCUGUUAUAGAUUGAAAGGAAAAUGAAUGAUGACGACGGUAUUCUAGUGAUAGGUUAAACCUGAACGAGUUUCUGGUUUUCCUACCUUCUUGUCGAAAGGAACUUUUUUCUUUUUGUUAAUAUCUGAUAUAUUUUCCCCUUGCAGAUGGCGUGGGUAUCAACCCACAACAGAGUGCUGGUAAGUCAUCAUUCUGGCUUUACUUGUCAAUAGUUAACAUUAUAUUUUAAACUUGUAAGUUUGUCAUGACACAUCCAUUUUGCCAAAUGAAAUUGGAUGACAAAGGCAUGUGUUCCAUGCCAUCAGACCUAGAUCUUGCUGAUAUGUUAGUACAUUGGAGCAAUUAGUUUCUCAUGAAAUCCCCUCCCAAGAUUUUUUGUUUAAUUAUAUAUUCCUAUAAGUUCUUACUGUGAUUACCAAGACCUUGAACAUUUGGAGAAAGCUGUUCAGUACUAUUCUUUCACUUGAAAAUAAUAAUUCGUUACACGCAAUCAAAUUUUAAUUAUUAAAUUAGUUGGUAAGAACAGGAAGAAUGGUGAUUUCAAAAUACCCUACAAAAGUUUACUUGAAUGUGUUAUCUUUGAAAUUUGGAAUCCAUGUCCAUGAGUAUUUGAAUAAUUUCACAUUGGUAUGAUGUCCUAAUGAAUCUGAUAUAUGCGAUUGAUUGUUAAAACAUAAGUUGAAUCAAUUAGAAAUUCUAGCUAUGUGAUAUAUGUCUGAGAAAACUUUAUAAUGUAAAUGGCCUUGGCAUUGAUGGCUCAUUGUAUAGAUCUCCAUGGCAAAAUUUAGUUCAAUGUAGCUAACUCCAGAUAGUUGGGAUAUGCACAUGACUUGCUUUUGUAAUCUGAGCAGCCAAAACUUGUAUCUUUAUGCUCUUGCUAUGAAUGUAAGUGUAGUUUAUAUGUUUUGCUUUGUUUGAAAUCUCAGUAGCAAUGGUUAACUAUCUUCUGUAAAUAUCAUGUCAGUUAUGUGAGUUCAUCAUGGAUUUAGAGUGACUCUUGGUUCCAGUAAACAUCUUUGCUAUAGUUAUGUCAUUUUAUAUAAUUCUUUUGAGUUAUGACUGGAUGAGAUUGAUACUUAAUAACAUAUUACGAACUCAAACAACAAACUAGGAAAAAGGACAAGAACUCAAAGCAAUGCUGUCAUAAUUGGUCAGUUCAGUUAUUAUCCUUUUUUUAAUUGGCCAUUUGGAUGAGAAAAUAGAGAAGGAAGCAUUAUGGUUGAUAUUUGAUAAUGGCUUCAAUAUUUUGUUUGUUAAAUAUUUUUUUUUAAAAAAAAAAAAGUUGAAAAUUUAACUUGUUCUUUUCUUGUAAUUUUUUUGUCCUGAAAUACACAUGAAAAUUUUCAAUAUUUGACUGCAUAACUUGGGAAGUCGGCUUUCAUGUUUUUAGUUACUAUUGUAGUAUUGUAUUUAAAUUUGCAGUAUUUGUAGUCUAGCAUUGGGAGAUGUUCACUAAAUGUUGAACUUAACUUAUUUUUGAAUUCAUAGAUUAGACAUCUAGGGUUCAUUUACUUGGAUGAAUGGUGGAUAGAAAGGCUCACAAAAUUGCAUAUGAGCUCUGUCAUUUAUUUGCAUCUACUAUUUCACUUUCCCUUCUAUCACUCUUAUUUUCCAUCCAAGAAAUUUAUAAGACAAUGAAAAAUCAUUGAGAUGCAGAACAUCAAUAUGUAUUAAGCUUUCCUGUUGUGUUGUAAACAUCUAUUGCUUGUGAAUCAACAACAUCCUUGAGCUUGAGCUUUCUUCGUACAACUGAUUCUCCGAGGAUAAUUCAUUGUAUUUUGCUUGUGUUAUAUUACUGAAUUAAGAUAGAUAUUUGGAUCUGCUUUGACAUCUUUGUUUUUUGUUCUGAUCAACAAUGAUUGAGUAUGAAAUGUGGAACAUUGUGCCUCGGAGAGUGGGAAAAUUCUUUUUUCAGGUAAACAUAGUUGAAAAUGGGAAAAAAAAAACAUUCGCCAUCAUUCUUUUGACCUCACUACACAAUAGAAAUUUAGUUUUACUCUGAGAUGCUUAAUCUUCUCUAAAAAAAGAAAAUAGUUUUGUAAGAAAUUGAACAACCGAGAAAAUUUGUUCCCAUUCAAACAAGUAAGUGUUUGUGUUUUCUCUUUCGAAGUUGUAAUUAGCAAAACGACAAGCACUCUUAGAUUUGCACAAGAAAAGGGUUGAAACUUAAAUGAAACUUAAGACAAUGUGAAUUUGAUACCAAGCACUAGGUUGUUUGAAGUGUCAUUUAAUAAGGUAAACAAUCUCAUUAUUUGAUUUGUUUGGUAAGUUAAAGUUGUCAAAAUGGAGAGGGGCUUAAAGAGUCCUCUCUCAUGCAAUCAUAAUAUGAUGGGUGAUGUUCGACAAACCAACCUAGGUCUCCACAUGUGGUUGCACAGGAUUUUUCAAUAGGAGUGGACCACAUCGCAUAUAACAUAUGCAGUCUUCUAUAUGUAGUUGGACUGAAGCAGGUCAUCUAGAUGGCCACGUAUGCAGUCUAAGCUUGUGUAGACAUCUAUAAACAAAAAUUGUGGUUUGUUCAUGCCACUUUGGAUUGAACCAAAAUUAAAUAAAAAUUCUAUUUAUUACUUGCCUCUGUUUCUUCUCUAAUAAUAAGGGCUUUUAUUAUAUCUUUUUUCUUCUACGAAGCUUAGUUUCAAUGUUUGCGAAAUACUUUUGUAAAGUAUGUUGGUAACUUGUAAGUGACAAUUUAAACAUUCGUAGUGCAGAUAUUAAAUUAUAUGCAUGUUAAUAUAUGACAUAUUCUGCAAUAAUGAUUCAUAUAGAUUAUUAUAUAUCAUGCAUUUCAUGUUUUAUGAUCACUUAUAUAUUUUACAUGCAAUUAUUGAUUAGAUAACUUGAUUAGUGUACUAUCUAUAACUUAGCAUUUUAUCGCCUAAUAAUUAUUAACAUUUUUAAUUUGGACUUAUAUGCCCUCACAUAUGUACAAUGAUAGUACAUUGUGAUAAUUAAAAACAAGAUCGAAAAUAUAUAAAUAAAGAUGAGAAUAUUUAGAUACACAUGUACAGUUAUUGAGAAAUAGAACAAGAGAAACAUAUUUCUUAUUUAUGAUGAUGGAUCUUGGAUAUGAUGAUUUUAUAACUACCAAUUUAAAAAUUAUAAAUGUGGUUGGGUAGAGACAAUCUGUUAAUAUAAAUAAACCUAAAUGAAUUGGAUAUUACUAAUUAUAUAACUACAUUAAUUUCUGUGAUUGCCCAGCUAAAUAGUUGGUGCUUACCCUUUUUAGCAGCAGGUGGAUGCAAUAGUUGUCCAAUAAUGCAUACUUUGUCAAGUAUCAACCAUGAUGUUUGAGGUUGUCUGAAGCUCAAUCUUGUCUAGUCUUGAUUGUUGUUUCCUGCUUCACAUAGCAAAUUCUUGAAGCAUUAGCUCAUCUACAUUUUCUUUCCUAUUUGCUACUUGUGCAGGUCUCAAGCAUGGCUCUGAGUUGCGGACCAUCCCGUGUGACGGAGUGGGAGGGGCUUAUGAGAUAUUUUAGAAAAUUUGAGUUUGACUUCGAAAUUAUGUGACAUGGCACCUCGUUUGAACUCGUCAAUUUAUCCAUAUGAGGGGCUCGUAAUACUUUCUACAGUUUGAUUUAACCAAGCCUAAAUUGUACAAUUCCGAAGUAAUUCCUAGUGAAUAAAUUUUCAGUGGUCUAUUUCGGUUAGCAAAAAUAAUUUAGGCAAGGAUUUUUAUCAUUCAUUAGAGAUUGCUGAACAUACCUUUGUGCACCAAGGUAUAUGAUACAAGCAAAAGUUCACGUUGACUGCCUUUUUGCAUGCUUGUGAUCUUUUGUCUAGAUCUUCCUCUAGGAAUCAUGAGAUCUGAGUGGUGACGUAGCACUUAUGUAAAUUACAUCGGAGCUCAUUGACAUUUUUUCAUUUCAACUGGUAGCAGCUAGGGGCCUGGGAUUAGACUGAAGAACCAUCAACAAGAGACUAUUGCUCAAAAUAUUUGAACUGAUACUCCUCUGAAGCUACUGUGGAGUCUGCUACAUCUGAGGUCAACUUCAUUCCAUUGUAUAAUGCAAUCAUUUAGCAGGCAACUUGUCUCUUUAGAAUAAAUCUCGGUGAUGUGACAAGGGGAUAAACUGAUGCUGACUUUAAACCUUGAUAUGUUAUAUUUACUCCAUUUCAUUCUGUUCCUCUAGUCUAACAGAAUGUUUAUUCCUAUUAUUUUGAACAAACUUUGCAGAAUCGUCAGCAUGAUUUGACUUGCCUUGAGUUGCGUUCUCCGUUACAUUCACUUCAUAUCUUCCUCACUGCAUGCUCAUCUGCUUCAGUUUGUUCACCUACAUAUUUUACAUGGAUUGAAUGGAUAGGGAUAAUCACCUAAAGAACGAACUACGGAUGAACUCAAACCUUCUAUUUUCUUACGAUUUCGCAAGUAUCUAAAAAGGCAUUUAUUCCUGUAUGCUUUGUUUGCGUGCAUGAUUUCUCCCCCUUUCGGAGACAAACAAGAUGGGGGAAUCAUUUCUAUAUACAAGACACUGCACUAUGUGACCUUGAGCAACGAACAAAAUGCAUGCAAUCAUAUGUUCACUUAAGCCGCAUGCCUUCCUAUAAUGCUUCAUUUUAUUUUUAUUAACAAGUUGCCAGAAUCAUUAAUUUUGUAAUGUUUUACUAGUAUGGAGCAAAAAUGCUUUUUCUUAAAACUGAAGCUGUGAAAAUGCUAUACGAUCAAUUCUUAGGAUUAGUACAGAGCUGACUGUUUCUGAUUUUUAUGCUAAUUUCAAAGAUAUCAUGCAGAUGGCUCAGAAUUUCCAGGUUUUUUUACUACUGUUGGCUCUCUAACUAGUUGACCACUUGGUUCAAUGAUACCUGCAACUAAAAAGACUCGCACUAAUUGAGCCCAAUGAUAGUCUAUGGAAUGGUCCAACAAGCAUCAGAUUUGGCCAAGAGAAGUUCAUAUUUGCUAACUUGUUACUGGAUAUGUUGUUGAUUACUGUCAUCGGUAAGCACAUGAUGUUUGCAAAUGAAGGGUGAGCUAUCAUGACUGAUGACCAAAAUGCACAAUUUCCUAGCUCUCCUACUCCAAGGACCACAAGCUUCAAUAUUAAAGUAUUGAUAUGCCCACAAUUUAAGUCCCUCCUUUCUCAACUAUCAAAUAUACUGUGAUCCUGAUAGGACAACCUACUCAAACUCCUCUCUCCAAAUGGACGAAGCAAUGAGCAACUGGAGCAGCAUGAGCAAGAUGCAAAUGGACAAUGGAUCUUCCUGGGGACCUCUGAGAAGCUUAUUCUCAUAUCGAUAUCGGCAAGAGCUGAAAAGGAAGAGCAAUAACAAGAAGAAGAACUGGAAGAAGAUUGGAUGCUCGGGGUCUCUAUGUAGGAUGAGAGACAGUUCUAGUGUCAUAAGCCCAGCAGCAGUAGUAAAGAGUUCUGAAGCUAACAACAAAUUGGCCUCAGACAGCAGUUGUAAUAGUUCAAGCAGAUCCUUGAAAGCCCCCUCUGAUGGCAUCACUGGAGCAAUCUCAACCUCUUUUUCUUCAAACUCAUCCUCUUCAGUCACUGCUUCCUCGUCUUCAGGAUCCUCCUCUUUAGAAGGAUCUUUUGGAGCAAUGCAUUUGAGGGGGGUUUCAGGGUGCUACGAGUGCAGGGACAUUUUUAUGACUCCUGAUGAUCUUGAGCUUCACCAGAUACAAAAGCACGCAGUGUCUGAAAUGGGCGUUCAAGACUCGAGCAGAAAAAUAAUUGAACUGAUAUUCCUUUCAAGCUGACUCAAGAAGCAAGCUCCAAUCCCCAACAUAGAGAGAGUGCUCAAGGUCCAAAACACCCCCACCACCACAUCGAGGUUCGAGGCCUACAGAGACUUCAUCAGGGACAAGGCUAACAAGCCUCCAUUGAAGCACUCGAGGUGCAUUGCCGAUGGCAAUGAACUCCUACGCUUCUACUGCACCAGCGUUGCCUGCUCUCUCGGCCUCCAUGGCGCCCCGACCCUCUGCCAAUCAGCCUCACUCUGCAGUCUCUGUGGCAUUCUACGCGAUGGCUUCAAAGUGGAUGAGCUGGGCAAAAUCCAAACUACGACCACCAGCUUUGGAGCCCACGGCGCAUGCACCCACCAAUUGACUUCCAACGGGGGGAUGAGGGCGAUGCUGGUGAGCAGGGUGAUUGCAGGGAGAGUGAAACAGAGCCAAUCAGAUGAUGAUGGUGGUGAGUAUGAUUCAGUUUCCAGCUCGGACGAGCUGUCCGUCUUCAGUCCCAGUGCUAUCCUUCCUUGCUUUGUUGUGCUCUACAGAGGUGUCUAAGUGUCUUUUUUUUUUAUUAUUAUUGUUGUCGAGUUGAUUGUCUUCUGCAAUCGAUGUGAGUUGUUUGAUGCGUGUUUAACGGUGGAUUAAACGCAUCUCGAAGGGUGGCUUUGUUUAAUUGGCACACUGUGAACUAGAUAUGAUAAGGCUACAGAUUAGAUUUG